AUUGAACGCUGGCGGCAUGCCUAACACAUGCAAGUCGAACGAGUGGCGGACGGGUGAGUAAUGUCUGGGAAACUGCCCGAUGGAGGGGGAUAACUACUGGAAACGGUAGCUAAUACCGCAUACCAUCGGAUGUGCCCAGAUGGGAUUAGCUAGUUGGUGGGGUAACGGCUCACCAAGGCGACGAUCCCUAGCUGGUCUGAGAGGAUGACCAGCCACACUGGAACGGGGACACGGUCCAGACUCCUACGGGAGGCAGAAGUGGGGAAUAUUGCAAAAUGGGCGCAAGCCUGAUGCAGCCAGGCCGCGUGUAUGAAGAAGGCCUUCGGGGUGUAAAGUACUUUCAGCGAGGAGGCGGUACUCGCAGAAGAAGCACCGGCUAACUCCGUGCCAGCCGCCGCGGUAAUUC
rnacentral:rRNA from 1 species